GAAAGAGUUGGGGAGGCAAAGAAUUUAUUUUGUUGCGACACUUGGAAUGCCCAGAAUGUGAGAGGUGGCGAGGAGAAGCGAGGGCCUUUGAAGCCACGCCCCUGACGGCGGGUCACGCUUCAGUGAUUGGUCGCUCCCCGGAGGUCGGAGUGCAAGUCGGGGGUCCUGUCACUCUUCUGAAGAAGAAGGUCAAAGGUCUACUUCCACCGGAGCUCCCCUUUCCUCCUCUUUCCCGGCGGGGUUCUUCUGAGCCAG
ensembl:lncRNA